rnacentral:rRNA from 1 species
UACGUAGGGUGCAAGCGUUGUCCGGAAUUAUUGGGCGUAAAGAGCUCGUAGGCGGUUUGUCGCGUCUGCUGUGAAAACCCGAGGCUCAACCUCGGGCCUGCAGUGGGUACGGGCAGACUAGAGUGCGGUAGGGGAGAUUGGAAUUCCUGGUGUAGCGGUGGAAUGCGCAGAUAUCAGGAGGAACACCGAUGGCGAAGGCAGCCCCCUGGGCUGACACUGACGCUCAGGCACGAAAGCGUGGGGAGCAAACAGG